GACAGAGGGUGCAAACGUUGUUCGGAAUUACUGGGCGUAAAGCGCGUGUAGGCGGCCAAGCAAGUCGGAUGUGAAAGCCCUCGGCUCAACCGGGGAAGUGCACUCGAAACUGCAUGGCUAGAGUCUCGGAGAGGAUCGUGGAAUUCUCGGUGUAGAGGUGAAAUUCGUAGAUAUCGAGAAGAACACCGGUGGCGAAGGCGGCCAACUGGACGGUGACUGACACUGAGACGCGAAAGCGUGGGGAGCAAACAGG
rnacentral:rRNA from 1 species